ACAACUACAUUUUCGAAAAAAAACAUUCUAUUCAGUUGUUUGCUUUAGGAAGAUGGCUAAGUUAGUGUGGUUGGCAUUACUGGUGAUCUAUUUUACAAUAAACCAAUGUAUUUCUGAAAGAAUAUCUGAGCAUUAUCGACAAAAACGUUGCAUCGUGGUCCAGAAGCAGUCAGGCACCCACGGGGACAGCAACGAGGGUGCUGAUGAUGAAGACAGUGAGGAGCUGCGGAACCCACGACCUGAUGUGAAGGAACCGGCGUAUGGGAAGGAGAAGGAUGAUGUUCAGACCAUACCUUUGCCUCCACUCAAAUAUACCAAACCACAAUCCAAUGGGAAGUACAAAAAGUACAGAACUAGUAACAAAAAUAAAGUUCACAAGAAUAAACUCUCAAUGAAUAGAAAUAUUUACGGUUAAUUUGAAACGCCUAAGUAGGUACGGUCAUGUGCAGAGAAACCUGACCCCCUCUCAUAGUAACAAUGCUUAUGACAGGGGUCAGAUUUAUCAGCCUUAUACUUCCUAAGUUUUAUAGUAACUUAAAAUCUGCUUCAUUGCACACUUUGUUAUAAUAUUUACUCAUUAU